rfam:Sorghum bicolor cultivar BTx623 chromosome 2, whole genome shotgun sequence.
CGGCUCGAAGAUGAUGAGCUGAUCUCCUACAUUCUCACCGGGCUAGAUAGCAACUUCAAUCCGGUGGUGACUGCGGUGUCAAACAGCAUUGAGCCCAUCUCCGUGACUGAGUUGUACACGCAGCUGGUCAGUCACGAGC